rnacentral:rRNA from 1 species
UACGAAGGGGGCUAGCGUUGCUCGGAAUGACUGGGCGUAAAGGGCGCGUAGGCGGCUUGUAUAGUCGGAUGUGAAAUUCCUGGGCUUAACCUGGGGGCUGCAUACGAGACGUAUGGGCUUGAGUGCGGAAGAGGGUCGUGGAAUUCCCAGUGUAGAGGUGAAAUUCGUAGAUAUUCGGAAGAACACCAGUGGCGAAGGCGGCUCACUGGCCCGGUACUGACGCUGAGGUGCGAAAGCGUGGGGAGCAAACAGG